AGCACCUCGAGUGGUCAGGAGGUUUAUUGGGCCUAAAGCAUCCGUAGCCGGUUGCAUAAGUUUUCGGUUAAAUCUAUGCGCUUAACGUAUAGGCCGCCGAAAAUACUGUGCAGCUAGGGAGUGGGAGAGGUACACGGUACUCGAUAGGAAGGGGUAAAAUCCUUUGAUCUAUUGAUGACCACCUGUGGCGAAGGCGGUGUACCAGAACACGUUCGACGGUGAGGGAUGAAAGCUGGGGGAGCAAACC
rnacentral:rRNA from 1 species